rnacentral:misc_RNA from 1 species
AGCAGCCGCGGUAAUUCCAGCUCCAAUAGCGUAUAUUAAAGUUGUUGCAGUUAAAAAGCUCGUAGUUGAAUUUCGGGGUUAGUAGGUUGGUCAUGCCUCUGGUAUGUACUGGUCUCACUGAUUCCUCCUUCCUGAUGAGCCGUAAUGCCAUUAAUUUGGUGUUGCGGGGAAUUUGGACUGUUACUUUGAAAAAUUAGAGUGUUUAAAGCAAGCUAACGCUUGAAUACAUUAGCAUGGAAUAAUGAAAUAGGACGUUCGAUCCUAUUUUGUUGGUUUCUAGGAUUGACGUAAUGAUUAAUAGGGAUAGUUGGGGGCAUUAGUAUUCAAUUGUCAGAGGUGAAAUUCUUGGAUUUAUUGAAGACUAACUACUGCGAAAGCAUUUGCCAAGGAUGUUUUCAUUAAUCAAGAACGAAAGUUAGGGGAUCGAAGACGAUCAGAUACCGUCGUAGUCUUAACCAUAAACUAUGCCGACUAGGGAUCGGAUGAUGUUAAUUUUUAAUGUACU